rnacentral:rRNA from 1 species
GUCGAGCGGAAGGCCCUUCGGGGUACUCGAGCGGCGAACGGGUGAGUAACACGUGAGCAACCUGCCCCAGGCUUUGGGAUAACCCCGGGAAACCGGGGCUAAUACCGAAUAUGACCUCUGACCGCAUGGUUGGUGGUGGAAAGUUUUUCGGCUUGGGAUGGGCUCGCGGCCUAUCAGCUUGUUGGUGGGGUGAUGGCCUACCAAGGCGACGACGGGUAGCCGGCCUGAGAGGGCGACCGGCCACACUGGGACUGAGACACGGCCCAGACUCCUACGGGAGGCAGCAGUGGGGAAUAUUGCACAAUGGGCGGAAGCCUGAUGCAGCGACGCCGCGUGAGGGAUGACGGCCUUCGGGUUGUAAACCUCUUUCAGCAGGGACGAAGCGUAAGUGACGGUACCUGCAGAAGAAGCGCCGGCCAACUACGUGCCAGCAGCCGCGGUAAGACGUAGGGCGCGAGCGUUGUCCGGAUUUAUUGGGCGUAAAGAGCUCGUAGGCGGCUUGUCGCGUCGACCGUGAAAACUUGGGGCUCAACCCCAAGCCUGCGGUCGAUACGGGCAGGCUAGAGUUCGGUAGGGGAGACUGGAAUUCCUGGUGUAGCGGUGAAAUGCGCAGAUAUCAGGAGGAACACCGGUGGCGAAGGCGGGUCUCUGGGCCGAUACUGACGCUGAGGAGCGAAAGCGUGGGGAGCGAACAGGAUUAGAUACCCUGGUAGUCCACGCUGUAAACGUUGGGCGCUAGGUGUGGGGGGCCUCUCCGGUUCCCUGUGCCGCAGCUAACGCAUUAAG